rfam:Delta proteobacterium MLMS-1 ctg686, whole genome shotgun sequence.
GGUCAAGCUACUAAGGGCAGACGGUGGAUGCCUUGGUACCAGGAGGCGAAGAAGGACGCGGUAAGCUGCGAUAAGCUUCGGGGAGCUGCUAACAGGCUUUGAUCCGGAGGUUUCCGAAUGGGGCAACCCGGCCGGGUAAAACCCGGUCAUCGUGUACUGAAUACAUAGGUACACGAGGCGAACGGGGGGAAGUGAAACAUCUCAGUACCCCCAGGAGAAGAAAUCAAUUGAGAUUCCGUCAGUAGUGGCGAGCGAACGCGGAUCAGCCCAAACCAUGGCACUUGUGCUGUGGGGUUGUGGGGCCCCGACAUGGGAUUGACAAGUGAUAGCAGAGCGGUCUGGAAAGGCCGGCCAGAGACGGUGAUAGCCCGGUAUGCGAAAUCAUGAGUCACCCUAGGGUGUCCCCGAGUACCACGGGACACGAGAAACCCCGUGGGAAUCCGGGAGGACCAUCUUCCAAGGCUAAAUACUACCUGGUGACCGAUAGUGAACCAGUACCGUGAGGGAAAGGUGAAAAGCACCCCGGGAGGGGAGUGAAAUAGACCCUGAAACCGUCUGUCUACAAGCAGUGGAAGCACUAUGUCGUAAGACAGUGCGACCGCGUGCCUUUUGCAUAAUGAGUCAGCGAGUUACCUUAUGCAGCGAGGUUAAGCCGUGAGGUGUAGCCGUAGCGAAAGCGAGUCUUAACUGGGCGUAUAGUUGCAUGGGGUAAACCCGAAGCCGGGUGAUCUAGCCAUGGCCAGGGUGAAGCGAAGGUAAUACUUCGUGGAGGCCCGAACCGAUAUAGGUUGAAAACUGUUCGGAUGAGCUGUGGCUAGGAGUGAAAGGCUAAUCAAACUCGGGAAUAGCUGGUUUUCUCCGAAAUAUAUUUAGGUAUAGCCUCGUGUGAUGACUGACGGAGGUAGAGCACUGAUUGGGCUAGGGGUCCCCACAGGAUUACCAACCCCUGUCAAACUCCGAAUACCGUCAAGCUCAAGCACGGGAGUCAGACUGCGGGUGAUAAGAUUCGUGGUCGAGAGGGAAAGAGCCCAGACCGCCGGUUAAGGUCCCUAAAUGCAUGCUAAGUGGAAAAGGAUGUGGAACUGCCCAGACAACCAGGAGGUUGGCUUAGAAGCAGCAAUCCUUUAAAGAAAGCGUAAUAGCUCACUGGUCGAGUGGGUCUGCGCCGAAAAUUCAACGGGGCUAAGCAUGCUACCGAAGCUGCGGAUUUCGAGUGUCGCCUUAAGUUCAUCAAGCCGUUGGGGUAAGAAUUUGGUAAGCAGCGCGCCAGCGCUGCGCACCAAAAUUCCCCCCAAGCGAAGCAUGGUGAGUUUAAGGCGGCACUCGGAGUGGUAGGAGAACAUUGUGGUAGCCUGAGAAGGUACACCGAAAGGAGUGCUGGAGGUCCCACAAGCGCUUAUGCUGACACGAGUAGCGCAAAUGCGGGUGAGAACCCCGCACACCGAAAGCCUAAGGUUUCCUGUGGUCAAGUCAAUCUGCCCAGGGUUAGCCGGCCCCUAAGGCGAGGCCGAAAGGCGUAGUCGAUGGGAAACAGGUGAAUAUUCCUGUGCCGCCAGAUUAACGUUUGAGUGAAGGGGGGACGCAGAAGGGUAGGCCAUCCGGGUGUUGGAUGUCCCGGUUUAAGCGUGUAGGCGGGAAGGACAGGCAAAUCCGUUCUUCUGUAUAACGCCAAGGCGUGAUGACGAGGGCUUUUAGCCCAUAAAGUGGUUGAUCCCAUGCUGCCAGGAAAAGCCUCGUAGCGAGUUAAUGUGGUGACCGUACCGCAAACCGACACAGGUAGGCAGGGAGAGUAUCCUAAGGUGCUUGAGAGAACUCUGGUUAAGGAACUCGGCAAAAUGACACCGUAACUUCGGGAGAAGGUGUGCCCCCAUUAGGUGAAAUGAAUUCUUAUGGAGCCGAAGGGGGUUGCAGAGACCAGGGGGGAGCGACUG